UACGAAGGGGGCUAGCGUUGUUCGGAAUUACUGGGCGUAAAGCGCGCGCAGGCGGUCUUCCAAGUCAGUGGUGAAAGCCCGGAGCUCAACUCCGGAACUGCCAUUGAUACUGCUUAGCUUGAAUCAGGUCGAGGUGGAUGGAAUAUUACAUGUAGCGGUGAAAUGCUUAGAUAUGUAAUAGAACACCGAUUGCGAAGGCAGUUCACUAGGCCUGUAUUGACACUGAGGCACGAAAGCGUGGGGAUCAAACAGG
rnacentral:rRNA from 1 species